UACGUAGGGCGCGAGCGUUGUCCGGAAUUAUUGGGCGUAAAGGGCUCGUAGGCGGCUUGUCACGUCGGGUGUGAAAGACCGGGGCUUAACUCCGGUUCUGCAUUCGAUACGGGCUAGCUAGAGUGUGGUAGGGGAGAUCGGAAUUCCUGGUGUAGCGGUGAAAUGCGCAGAUAUCAGGAGGAACACCGGUGGCGAAGGCGGAUCUCUGGGCCAUUACUGACGCUGAGGAGCGAAAGCGUGGGGAGCGAACAGG
rnacentral:rRNA from 1 species